rnacentral:tRNA from 1 species
AUUUAUAUAGUUUAAAUAAAAUAAAACAUUGUGGUUGUUUAGAUAGUAUUACUUAUAAGUU